rnacentral:rRNA from 1 species
UACAGAGGGGGCAAGCGUUGUUCGGAAUUACUGGGCGUAAAGGGCGCGUAGGCGGCCCGCUAAGUCGAACGUGAAAUCCCUUGGCUCAACCCAGGAACUGCGUCCGAUACUGGCAGGCUUGAAUCCGGGAGAGGGAUGUGGAAUUCCAGGUGUAGCGGUGAAAUGCGUAGAUAUCUGGAGGAACACCGGUGGCGAAGGCGGCAUCCUGGACCGGUAUUGACGCUGAUGCGCGAAAGCCAGGGGAGCAAACGGG